GUUAAUGAUGAUAAAUCCAA
rnacentral:snRNA from 1 species